CUCGCGUAGUUCCAAAAAGCCAUUCUAUGGCGUUGGACAUCAUUCACUUCCAUUGCUGACUGUCGAGUAACUUCUGAGACGACCGAUUGCCUGCUAGUUUGUUAGCUUGACUUGCCUUCUGUGAAGGUUGUAUCUGCUGAACCUGGCGGUGUUAGCUAGUCAGCUGAGUACUGUGUAUCUGAUGCUAGUAGAAAUAAGGUUUGUUUAAUUACACCCUUGAAAGGGCUGUUGGAUUGCAUGUAGGAAUACAAAUUAUUUUACACAAAAAUUAUCAUAAGCCAUAAUGAGCUUUAAAAUGUUUAUUACUCAGACAGUAGUGUGACUAAUUUGUUUCCCAAACACUGCUGCUGCAGGCGGCUGCUGCUGGAGGCGAUGACUGCUUGAGCUGGCUGGUGUUGGUGAAGGAUGGUGAUGGCGGCUGCUGCUGGUAAUGGUGGCGGCUUCAGGUAAUGGUGGCUGUUGCUGCUGGUGGCGGCUGCUGCUGGUAGCUGCUACUGCUGGUGGCGGCUGUUGGUGGCGG